rnacentral:rRNA from 1 species
GACGAACGCUGGCGGCGUGCUUAACACAUGCAAGUCGAGGGCAUGCAGCAAUGCAUGACCGGCGAACGGGUGCGUAACACGUGAGCGACCUUCCGUCUUCUGGGGGAUAGCCGGCCCAACGGCCGGGUAAUACCGCAUACGCUCAUCGGGGGCAUCCCUUGAUGAGGAAACUUCCGGGGGAGGACGAGGGGCUCGCGGCCUAUCAGCUAGGUUGGGGGUACGG